rnacentral:rRNA from 1 species
UGGCGGCGUGCUUACACAUGCAAGUCGAACGAGGAACAGAGUGCUUGCACUUUGUAUCCGAGUGGCGAACGGGUGAGUAACACGUGACCAACCUGUCUUCAGGCGAGGGACAACCUGGGGAAACCCGGGCUAAUACCGCAUAACGUCUCUAUUUCGCAUGGAACUGAGAUCAAAGGGGGCCUCCGNCUUGCAAGCUCCCGCCGGAAGAGGGGGUCGCGUCGUAUCAGCUUGUUGGUGAGGUAAUGGCUCACCAAGGCGAUGACGCGUAGCGGGUCUGAGAGGACGAUCCGCCACAUUGGGACUGAGAUACGGCCCAGACUCCUACGGGAGGCAGCAGUGGGGAAUAUUGCGCAAUGGCCGCAAGGCUGACGCAGCGACGCCGCGUGUGGGAGGAAGCCUUUCGGGGUGUAAACCACUGUCGGGGGGGAAGAACAGCGAGCACUCAAAUAGAGUGUUUGAUUGACGGUACCUCCAAAGGAAGCGCCGGCUAACUCCGUGCCAGCAGCCGCGGUAAGACGGAGGGCGCAAGCGUUGUUCGGAAUUACUGGGCGUAAAGCGCACGCAGGCGGUUCGCUAAGUCCUUUGUGAAAUCCCGGAGCUCAACUCCGGAACUGCAUAGGAUACUGGUGAACUGGAGACUGGUGNAGGCUAGCGGAAUUCCUGGUGUAGCGGUGGAAUGCGUAGAUAUCAGGAAGAACACCUGUGGCGA